UACGGGGGGGCAAGCGUUGUUCGGAAUUACUGGGCGUAAAGGGUUCGUAGGUGGCUUGUUAAGUCAGACGUGAAAUCCCUCGGCUCAACCGGGGAACUGCGUCUGAGACUGAUGAGCUCGAGUGCAGGAGAGGAACGCGGAAUUCCAGGUGUAGCGGUGAAAUGACGUAGAUAUCUGGAGGAACACCGGUGGCGAAGGCGGCUCUCUGGACCGAUACUGACGCUGAGGCGCGAAAGCGUGGGGAGCAAACAGGG
rnacentral:rRNA from 1 species